rnacentral:rRNA from 1 species
AUUGAACGCUGGCGGCAGGCCUAACACAUGCAAGUCGAGCGGAGCGGCUGACGGGUGAGUAAUGCCUAGGAAUCUGACUGGUAGUGGGGGAUAACGUCCGGAAACGGGCGCUAAUACCGCAUACUAUCAGAUGAGCCUAGGCGGGAUUAGCUAGUUGGUGGGGUAACGGCCUACCAAGGCGACGAUCCGUAACUGGUCUGAGAGGAUGAUCAGUCACACUGGAACGGAGAUACUGUCCAGACUCCGACGGGAGGCAGCAGUGGGGAAUAUUGGACAAUGGGCGAAAGCCUGAUCCAGCCAUGCCGCGUGUGUGAAGAAGGUCUUCGGAUUGUAAAGUACUUUAAGCUGGGAGGCGUUACCAACAGAAUAAGCACCGGCUAACUUCGUGCCAGCAGCCGCGGUAAUUC